AUUGAACGCUGGCGGCAGGCCUAACACAUGCAAGUCGAGCGGAUGAAGGGAGCUUGCUCCUGGAUUCAGCGGCGGACGGGUGAGUAAUGCCUAGGAAUCUGCCUGGUAGUGGGGGAUAACGUCCGGAAACGGGCGCUAAUACCGCAUACGUCCUGAGGGAGCAAGUGGGGGAUCUUCGGACCUCACGCUAUCAGAUGAGCCUAGGUCGGAUUAGCUAGUUGGUGGGGUAAAGGCCUACCAAGGCGACGAUCCGUAACUGGUCUGAGAGGAUGAUCAGUCACACUGGAACUGAGACACGGUCCAGACUCCUACGGGAGGCAGCAGUGGGGAAUAUUGGACGAUGGGCGAAAGCCUGAUCCAGCCAUGCCGCAUGUGUGAAGAAGGUCUUCGGAUUGUAAAGCACUUUAAGUUGGGAGGAAGGGCAGUAAGUUAAUACCUUGCUGUUUUGACGUUACCAACAGAAUAAGCACCGGCUAACUUCGUG
rnacentral:rRNA from 1 species